rnacentral:tRNA from 1 species
GCUCUCGUAGCUCAGUUGGUAGAGCGCGGCACUAGUACCUGGUAUCAGUAUCACGAUAUGCCGAGGUCUACGGUUCAACUCCGUACGGGAGCA